UAGAUAUGCUGAUACAAAACCCCACGUCC
rnacentral:piRNA from 1 species